AACAACGCUGGCGGCGUGCCUAACACAUGCAAGUCGAACGAGAAAGCGGGCUUCGGCCCGUAAGUACAGUGGCAGACGGGUGAGUAACACGUGGGUAACCUGCCCGGAGGUGGGGGAUAACCCUUCGAAAGGAGGGCUAAUACCGCAUAAUAUCUCGUGCAUUUCGAUAAACGAGAUCAAAGCUUGCCUCUACUUGUAAGCUAGCACCACCGGAGGGGCCCGCGCCCCAUUAGCUUGUUGGUGAGGUAACGGCUCACCAAGGCGACGAUGGGUAGCCGGCCUGAGAGGGUGAUCGGCCACACUGGAACUGAGACACGGUCCAGACUCCUACGGGAGGCAGCAGUGAGGAAUUUUGCGCAAUGGGCGAAAGCCUGACGCAGCGACGCCGCGUGGAGGACGAAGGCCUUCGGGUCGUAAACUCCUGUCAAGCGGGACGAAAUCGGGGCGGGCGAAUAGUCCGUCUCGUUGACGGUACCGCUGGAGGAAGCCCCGGCUAACUCCGUG
rnacentral:rRNA from 1 species